CUAAUACUGUAUUAUGGAAUUUGUAUGAUUUUGUUAAUUUAAUGACCCAAUAGAAUUCAAUAACUCUGAUUUCCCUCGAAGACUACAAACAAGAGCUGAAGAACCUCGUCGUCUGGAGGUUAUGAAGAACCUGACAGGUCUGUGGGGCAGCACUGGGCAAGGCCAGCCUCAGCCGACUCCACGAGCCAACCGUCUCAGCCCCUCCCUGGCCCAGUACUUAGCCUCCACUGUCACACCGAGGACCUUUGACCUCCAGAUAAUGGGCAUGACCUCUGACCUAAUGGACUUCUUGGACAUGCCCGAGGAGAGACUGUCUAUAGAGCUUUGGGACCUCGGGGAGGGCACAGGGGACCAGCGCUACAAAGCCAACUGGCAAUUCUCAGAGGAGCACGGCAAUGUGCUGAUGGAGGGAGUCUGGCUCCAGAAAGACGACAACUGGUAAUUUGGAGACCUCAGCUCGCCCAAACGCUUCCUCAGUAGGAAAGAGGAGGGAGCUUAUCUGCUGAUAUUCACUCAUUCAUAUGCACACAUCAGUAAAGGCUUUGAGGAAAAUAGAAAUUGCAAUUGGAAGUUCAGUUUACUUUCUGAAUUUUAAAGGAAUUGACACCAACCCCGGAACAAAUACACACAGGCUCACAGGCACACACAAAAAAAGGAUGACUCUUGAGGAUUGCAGUAUCUUAUCAUUUUUAUAUACAAUUAAUAUUUUCAUUAGCAUACAUACAGUCAUUCUUGUGUUUUUAUUCAUUUUUAAAAUCAUGACAACCAGAGAAGUGUAGCAUUGUAGGGUUGCUGUGUCUGUGCAUUUGAUUAGUCUAAAACAUCAUGAACUGAUGGUGUCACAGGUGGGAUCUGAACCCUGGUCUACUGCGUGAGAAACCACCAUCUUAACAAUUAGGCCAAUAGAUAAUUCCUCAAUUACACUGGCAUAAGGGCCACUUAUAGGAAUGAAUCUCUACCAGGUAUAGUAAGACAACAUAUUUAAUAACUUAUGUGUCAUAUUACUUCCCCGAAAGGAAUAUAGAUGUGUUGAUCCCCAGGAUGGGAUAUAUGAGGAUGAUAUGUCCACCCAAGCAUCCAGACGCAUGAAAUAAAUUAGCUUCCAAAAUGCACUUGAUUGCUGAAAUAAAUGGAUUUACGUUAAUGAUUCUAUAUUUUAUUCGCUUUUUUACAGCGCAUGGUUAUCUUUGAGCUUGUGAAAAAGUGAGUUUGUUUCAGUGUCAAUUGGUGCUUUUUUUACUCAUUCAUCUAGAGUGUGUUAUUUAAAUGACUGAUUUACGUUGGGGUUUUGGUUAAUUCAGAUGGUAUUUACAGUGCUUUCAGAAAGUGUUCACACGCCUUGACUUUUUCCACAUUUUGUUGUGUUACAACCUGAAUUUAAAAUGGAUUCAAUUGAAAUGUGUUUUGUCACUGGCCUGCAAACAAUACCCCAUAAUAUCAGAGUGGAAUUUAGUUUUUUAGAAAUGUUUACAAAUUAAUUAAAAUUGAAAAGUUGAAAUGUCUUGAGUCAGUAAGUAUUCAACCCCUUUGUAAUGACAAGCCUAAAUAAGUUCAGGAAUAAAAAUGUGCUUAACAAGUCACAA
ensembl:lncRNA